GAUGAACGCUGGCGGCGUGCCUAAUACAUGCAAGUCGAGCGAACGGACGAGAAGCUUGCUUUUCUGAUGUUAGCGGCGGACGGGUGAGUAACACGUGGAUAACCUACCUAUAAGACUGGGAUAACUUCGGGAAACCGGAGCUAAUACCGGAUAAUCUUUUGAACCGCAUGGUUCAAAAGUGAAAGACGGUCUUGCUGUCACUUAUAGAUGGAUCCGCGCUGCAUUAGCUAGUUGGUAAGGUAACGGCUUACCAAGGCAACGAUGCAUAGCCGACCUGAGAGGGUGAUCGGCCACACUGGAACUGAGACACGGUCCAGACUCCUACGGGAGGCAGCAGUAGGGAAUAUUCCGCAAUGGGCGAAAGCCUGACGGAGCAACGCCGCGUGAGUGAUGAAGGUCUUCGGAUCGUAAAACUCUGUUAUUAGGGAAGAACAGAUGUGUAAGUAACUGUGCACAUCUUGACGGUACCUAAUCAGAAAGCCACGGCUAACUACGUG
rnacentral:rRNA from 1 species